GACCGGAAGUCCCGUCGCUAUAGCAACGGACGCCAUGGGGCUGGACUACUACGCUGUGCUGGAGCUGGACCGCGGGGCCACCGCCGACGACAUCAAGAAGGCUUAUCGGAAGUUGGCCCUGAAGUACCACCCAUUAAAAUGCAAGGAGCCCUGGGGGCCGAAGAGGUUCCACCAGCUGGCUGAGGCCUACGACGUGCUCAGCGACCCUAUGAAGAAAGGCAUCUACGACAAAUUUGGGGAAGAGGGGCUGAAAGGUGGCAUCCCCUUGGAGUUUGCGAGCGACAACCCUUGGAGCGUGGGAUACGUGUUCCACAACAACCCUGAGAAAGUCUUCAGGGAGUUCUUUGGAGGGGACAACCCCUUUGCAGAGUUCUUCGCCGCGGAUGGCUCGGAGGUGCUGCUGCCCUUCGGGGGGCCCCGGGGCCGGGGGGCUCUGCGGCAGGACCCCCCCAUCGUGCGGGACCUCUACGUGUCCCUCGAGGACCUGUUCCACGGCUGCACCAAGAAGAUUAAGAUCUCCCGCAGGGUGAUGAACGAGGAUGGCCAGACGAGCACCAUCAGGGACAAGAUCCUGACCAUCGACGUGCAGCCGGGCUGGAAGCGUGGCACCAGGGUCACCUUUGAGAAGGAGGGAGACCAGGGCCCGAACAUCAUUCCAGCCGACAUCACCUUUGUUGUCCAAGAGAAGCUUCACCCGAGGUUCAAAAGAAUCGACAGCAACCUCCUUUAUGUUGCCACCAUCCCCCUGGCAAAGGCGCUGACUGGAUGCACCCUGGAUGUGUGGACUCUGGAUGGGAGGCUGCUGAACAUCCCCAUCAACGACAUUGUGGACAUGGUAGAAACCCUAUUCUGCUCUGGCUGCUCCAGGACCCUUGGCAGCAGAUACAGGCACGCCUCAAGGCAUCUCGACUACCGGAGAGAUUUGUUCUGUGUCCCUACUGACUCUGUUGAAAGAGUGGGAAGUGCAUGAUGUAACCUGUGGCAUCUCAUCUCCUGGUUCAUUCCCAGGAACCCUGGAAAAGCAAGCUCUCAUUCACGAGGAGCCGCUUCCUCUUGAAAGUCCAGCUGUCUUGCAAGAGGUGCCGCACAGGGUAGGAAGAGUUGGGAGCGAACAGUCUGAGGAAAUGGACUGUGGAAGCUGAAGGUUGUCCAGCCAAAGCUGAGUGUGUGGCUCUGACACUGACCAAGGCUGGGAAGAGUUACUGUGUGGACAGUGAAUGUCAGAGCUGGGUGAGCUUUCACAGGAUAAAAGGAGCAAGGAGAGAAUUGAAUGGAAAGAAUUGCUGAGAUCAGGUAACUACAACAUUUUGUUAUUGACAUACCUGCCAGAGGAGCCUACAUUACUCCAGUGUAAUUUGUGAGGCAGUUUCUGCUCUAACAAGUUUUUGAAUGCUGCUCAACUGCAAGAGAGCUCCUUCUGGAUGUUUGAAGACUGUGCCUGCUGAAAGGCUGAGGGGUGACCAGGAUCUGCAAAAUCUCUGACUCUCCGUGUCUUCCCGAGGCUGAAGCCGUGUUUGCUGUCAAUGACAACCCAGUGGAAGAUGGUAAAGACUGAAAACUUUGGGUUUUUUCCCCUGAAUCCCACGACUCUCUCUGCAGCUGUGCCCUGCAUAUAAAAGAGUUUCCGCGUUUAGAAGGGUUUUACCUUCUGCAAUAUUAUCUAUAAGUCAAUGAAAAAGAAUCUUACUGUAUCGAUGUGAUGUUACUUUGCUUGAGUUGUUUAAUUAAAGCAUAUCAUUGAUAAGGGGUUUGAGCAUCCCUUGGAUGGCC